UGCCAGCCGCCGCGGUAAGACGUAGGUGGCGAGCGUUAUUCGGAUUUAUUGGGCGUAAAGGGUCCGUAGGGGGUUUGUUAAGUCUGGUGUGAAAUCCCACGGCUCAACCGUGGAACUGCACUGGAUACUGAUAGACUAGAGCAUCGGAGAGGAGAGUGGAAUUCCUGGUGUAGCGGUGGAAUGCGUAGAUAUCAGGAGGAACACCGAUGGCGAAGGCAACUCUCUGGACGAUUGCUGACCCUGAGGGACGAAAGCCAGGUCAGCGAACAGGAUUAGAUA
rnacentral:rRNA from 1 species